rnacentral:lncRNA from 1 species
AAAUUUAAGCACAAUACCCCUUCUAGAUCUUGUCAAGCUUUUCUGCCUUCACAACAGGGUUGGCCUUUGCUAUUGCAUCUUGGGCAGCAGAGCGGUAAUCAAACUGGCAGUCAUGUUUAUCCGAGUAACGGUGUGCUCCACAAUACAGGUGACCGCAGCGACACUUGAAUCCAAUGAAGCCAACCCUUUUUUUACAAGUGCCGCAGCGGUUAGGACCCUCCUUAGCCUUUACUUCAGCAACGACACUGGAGCUUGAAAUUGGAGAUGAUGGCAAAGCUACAGCCUUUGCUUCCACAGAAUCAGAUUGCACAUCGACAGAGCCAACAACAAUAGUUUCCCCCUUCUCACUGGCGGUUGAUCC